rnacentral:tmRNA from 1 species
GGGGGUGCACCGGUUUCGACUGGGAUGAAGGUGUGUCAAGUUGCAGGUGGAGGGCCGAACUCCUAAAAACGGCAAACCAAAUAACUGCCAACGAAGCAGAUUAUCAACUAGCGGCAGCGUAAGCUUGCCGCUACGGGUUCCGGAUACGCGGUCUUGAGGAUCCGAGAACUUGUAAGAAACCAAGACUCUUCAACCAUGGGGUCCGAACCAUGGGAGAGAACCUCUUCGGACUAAGGGCAGAUGCAAGCCUCCGGUUCGCUUGGCUCUGUCCGAUCACUAGAGAACCGGAUAAACCUGUAGAAUGCUUGACGUAUCCAUCCUAGGACGCGGGUUCGAUUCCCGCCACCUCCAGAU